UACAGAGGUCCCAAGCGUUAUUCGGAUUCACUGGGCGUAAAGGGCGCGUAGGUGGUGGCUUAAGCGUGCGGUGAAAGCUCGGAGCUCAACUCCGAGUCGGCCGUGCGAACUGGGCUCACUGGAGCAUAGUAGAGGCAGGUGGAAUUCCGGGUGUAGCGGUGGAAUGCGUAGAGAUCCGGAAGAACACCGGUGGCGAAGGCGGCCUGCUGGGCUAUGGCUGACACUGAGGCGCGACAGCGUGGGGAGCAAACAGG
rnacentral:rRNA from 1 species